rnacentral:lncRNA from 1 species
CCCCUGCCCCGGCCCCACCGCCCGGGCUUUGUCCCCGCCGGCCGCCCCGUCCCUCCUCCCGCCCUUCCCCGCCCUCCGCCGGCUCUGCCUCAACUUUAGAGGCAGGUCCCGGAGGCUCCGGGAGCGGGACCGGCACCGGGCGGGGGCUGGCAGCCUCCUCCCCACCCCGGCAGCACGGAAAGGACGCGGACACCCGGAGCCGACGGCGACAGAGGAAAAAUCCCGGCAUCGCCUCGAUCAGCGUGGUUUUGGCAGCACCCACCAAAGGGGACGGGGACAGGGACAAGGAGAAGCCGUGCCAGCGCAGGGCAGUGGGGAGACGACCACCUCGCAGCACCCUCACCCUGGAAAUCGAAGGGAAGAGGAGCUCCACCAGGACCUGGGGUUAGGACUGAGCUUUCCAGCCCGGAGGAGGCUGCUCCUGCUGUGGGUUUGCAGCGGUAAAGUUGUCCCUGGCUUUUGGGGCCGGGCUGGCGUGGUGGCAUCCCUCCUCCACUAA